rnacentral:antisense_RNA from 1 species
UUUCACCGAGCCCAGCCACAGCGGCCGGUCCGCGGGCCGGUCGCGGCCGUAGGUCGCCGACAGCGCCUGCACCUC